UAAAACAUCAAAUUUGGGUUAAGUUUUCGACAAACUAAAUUUUGAGUGAUUAAAAAAAUGUUUAAAAAACUAAAACAAGCAAAAAAAUUAUAAUAAUUAUGGCAACACAAAUUUGUUGGAAAUACUGUGAUGUCAGAAAAUGUCUUAAUUGAUCAAAAUAAUAAUGCUGCAGUUGUCUCACGGAAUAAAAUUGCAAAUUCGGCAUCCUAUACUCCAGGGAAGUCGAAAUUUUGGAAAUGGAGAAAAAUCCACUUUGAGGGUUAGUACAACAAAAGGAGUUCCUAGUAAGAGUACAGAUUUAAAAGAAGCUCUCUGUGAGAAGAUUCCUCUUCAAUAUGACCUUCUUCGAAAAAUCCGACGUCAGCAUGGUUCUACGAUCGUCAGUCAAAUUACAAUUGACGAUAUAUUUCGCGGCUUAAGAGGAGUGAAUACAAUUAUCAGAGAAACUUCAGAAGUCGAUUCUAAAUUGGGAAUACAAUACAGGGGACUGACAAUACCCGAAGUAUUGACCCUUCUUCCACGUCGUGGAAGCUCACCUAGUCCGGAAGCAGUUUUUUGGCUGUUACUAACAGGAGAUGUUCCGACUAUGGAACAAACUGAGUCUCUUAUUGCCGAUUGGUCGGCUAGGAGAGAAAAAAGAAAAGAAUGGUGGUUAGAGGCAGGAGAUGGGGGUAUCGUGGGAGCAGUUUUGAAAUCUCUACCAAAGACAGUUACCCCUUUGAGACGACUUUCUAUUGCACUUACAACACUGGAUGCUGACAAGCACACAAAAAGUGCCAUUAAAAACGGAGCAAUGAAAUACACCCACUGGGAAUAUAUUUAUGAAGAUAGUAUGGAAAUUCUAGCGACUCUGCCAGCUAUUGUUUGUUUAACCGGGCCACAACAAAGUUUAAAGUUCACGCAUCACAAAGAAGGGGACUGGGUAGAUUUUCUCCUUGACUGUAUUGGAAACAUUUCACAUAUAGGAAAGGAGGGAAAAAAAUCACUAGGAGAAUUUCUGAGACUUUAUAUUGCAGUUAAUGCAGACGACGAUGGUGGCAUACCAGGUGCCCACGUUACACAAAUUUUGGGAACAGCUCAACCUGCAAUUAGUCAAGCUUUAGCAGCUGGUAUUCCAGCUUAUUUUAAUGAGCCCAGAACUGGAACGAUGAGCCAGUACGUACAUUUUCAAACGAAAGUACAAAGUGUUUUCGGCGUUGAACCUGAGAAGGAUGCUUUGAAAAGUUUCCUGAGUGUACUUGUCGAUAAAAGCUCAGAAAUCGUAGCUCACAAAGAGUCUGAAUUCGGAGACUCGCGAUACAAUGCGCUGCGAGAAUUUGCCAGAGAAAAUCUGCCGAAUGAUCCGAGGAUCAAACUUUCUCAGGAUAUAUCUGGAAUAUUGUCAGCUAUAAGAGAAAGUUCAAAUAAGAAAAAGAUUUGGCCCGAGGAAUCUGCUAUAGCAGCUCCAAUUUUUGAAGGGGAACCUGCUUCACCUCCCACCACUGUGCCUGUACGGUCUCGCGCGCGUCAGUGGCAGGCCAAUGAACAGCGCACGCGUUGACACCAUGUAAGCACAGCCAAUGAGCGUCGCUUGACAAACUCGCCCCACGACUCGCGGUAGAGAUGGGGGCCCCUGCAAAUUUGGAAUAUCGGAAUGUUUACGUUUCUCGGCCUUUGGAAUGACUUUACGGAUUGAAAGACAUGGAAUUCAAUCAAGUUUUUCUCUGCAUGUCUCGAGCUCUUGGUGCAGUAGCUUCUAUAAUCUGGGCAAAAGCAUUGGACACACCAGUUGAAUG